UCCAUGAGAUUCGUUGUGACA
rnacentral:piRNA from 1 species